CAGAAGUGAGCACCGCCAUGUUCUUGGGUAGUAAAGUGGGAGAAUUUUACUCAUCAACAAUGUAGCGAAAAUUGGAUUGUUGAAUUUAAAAAUGCUUUUUUUGGAGUUUAAUUGGACAAUCUUUGCCACUUUAAUAAUUAUAUUAAAGAAAAGGUCUUUGUGUGAGAACUUUUCGAUCAUUGCACAACCAAAUGCGUCUCCAACCAAGUUACAAGGGUUACAAAUUUUCUAUACUCGCAAUCGUGGUGGUUUUGGAAACAGGAUUAAGGAGAACGAUAAUUGUGGGGCGUUAUAAAUCAACAAGAGCUAUACUUUGCAAGUUACAGUCCAGCCUAGAUACAAUGAUAAGAGUUUUGAAGUCUACAUGGCACAAACACCAUCUCAUCCCAGAAUUUAUAUGAACUACAAACUGAGCUCUUAAAUGACAAGAAACAAAAGAGUAUUUUGGUUUAUGUUUGCAAAUAUGUGAACUUCUCGUAAAUUUAUCAUUAUACAUUUACUCUGCAUAAAAAAUAUUGCCGUAGAGCUAACAAGGCGUGAAAAAAAAUAUUUCUUUUUGUCAUUAAUAUAAGAUAGACAAAGUUUUUUGACAUUGUGCAUCCAUAGAUAGUAUAGCCAAUCAUAAGAAUAUAUAUAAGUUUUUCUAAAAUGAUGAAAAAAACUUGACAAUUCCAAGACCCAAAGAACAAAGUAAAAGUGCAGCCUUUUAGAUUAUUAAUUUUUAUUUAAAUGAUUCAUUUUAACUUAAAUUAUUAUACUUUGUUAGUUAUUUCGAGCACGCAAUGCAAACAAUUUUUCGAUCAAAUAUUGAACAUGCAAAACAGUCUAUAGCAUUUUUCUUUCAAGCUUCCUGGUUUAACUGCAUAUGUUUAAAUGACAGAGAGUGACAACUAGAGGUUUAUUACUUCUUCAUUUUAAGAGUGCAAGCUGUAGCUGUAACUGCAACGACGGAGGAAGCUCUUGUCCAAAAACGCAAUACUACACAAGCGCAAAGAGAUUGGUAAAACAAUGCGUAUUUAAAAGCAUAAACGACGAUAUAGACGUCGGGGUACUUAUUAAACUCUCUUGUGAUUUCAACAAAGAAAAAACAAAUACUUCACUACGAGUGACAUUUAGCGGUGAUAUGAGAGUGAUUGGUUGUUCUUCUGGAUGUUGUCGUCGCUGGUUUAUAACAAUCAACGGUAAGAGAGGCCUGAGAAGGAUGUACAAUAGAAUAAGACCAAGAAUUCUAGAUAAUGUCAUGCAGGCAGUUUGGACUUAUUCAAGUAGAACACGUGUUUUUAAAAA